CAAAUUAGAACUUGAAAGAAAGUGUUUUAUUUACAUUAAAAAAUUAAUUGUGGAAUUCAAUUUAAUUUGA
rnacentral:tRNA from 1 species